CCUAACACAUGCAAGUCGAACGGACCUUUCGGGCAUAGUGGCGCACGGGUGCGUAACGCGUGGGAAUCUGCCCUUUGGUUCGGAAUAACAGUUGGAAACGACUGCUAAUACCGGAUGAUGACGAGAGUCCAAAGAUUUAUCGCCAGAGGAUGAGCCCGCGUUGGAUUAGGUAGUUGGUGGGGUAACGGCCUACCAAGGGGACGAUCAGUAGCUGGUCUGAGAGGAUGAUCAGCCACACUGGGACUGAGACACGGCCCAGACUCCUACGGGAGGCAGCAGUGGGGAAUAUUGGACAAUGGGCGCAAGCCUGAUCCAGCCAUGCCGCGUGAGUGAUGAAGGCCUUAGGGUUGUAAAGCUCUUUUGUCCGGGACGAUAAUGACGGUACCGGAAUAAUAAGCCCCGGCUAACUUCGUGCCAGCAGCCGCGGUAAU
rnacentral:rRNA from 1 species